rnacentral:rRNA from 1 species
UGUGCCAAGCAGCCGCGGUAAAACCAGCACCUCAAGUGGUCAGGAUGAUUAUUGGGCCUAAAGCAUCCGUAGCCGGCUCUGUAAGUUUUCGGUUAAAUCUGUACGCUCAACGUACAGGCUGCCGGGAAUACUGCAUAGCUAGGGAGUGGGAGAAGUAGACGGUACUCGGUAGGAAGUGGUAAAAUGCUUUGAUCUAUCGAUGACCACCUGUGGCGAGGGCGGUCUACUAGAACACGUCCGACGGUGAGGGAUGAAAGCUGGGGGAGCAAACCGGAUUAGAUACCCGGGUAGUCCCAGCUGUAAACUAUGCAAACUCAGUGAUGCAUUGGCUUGUGGCCAAUGCAGUGCUGCAGGGAAGCCGUUAAGUUUGCCGCCUGGGAAGUACGUACGCAAGUAUGAAACUUAAAGGAAUUGGCGGGGGAGCACCACAAGGGGUGAAGCCUGCGGUUCAAUUGGAGUCAACGCCAGAAAUCUUACCCGGAGAGACAGCAGAAUGAAGGUCAAGCUGAAGACUUUACCAGACAAGCUGAGAGGUGGUGCAUGGCCGUCGCCAGCUCGUGCCGUGAGAUGUCCUGUUAAGUCAGGUAACGAGCGAGAUCCCUGCCUCUAGUUGCCACCAUUACUCUCAGGAGUAGUGGGGCGAAUUAGCGGGACCGCCGCAGUUAAUGCGGAGGAAGGAAGGGGCCACGGCAGGUCUGUGAUGCCC